rnacentral:miRNA from 13 species
AACAGGGUGGGUUGAGUACA